GACGAACGCUGGCGGCGUGCCUAAUACAUGCAAGUUGAGCGAUGAAGAUUGGUGCUUGCACCAAUUUGAAGAGCAGCGAACGGGUGAGUAACGCGUGGGGAAUCUGCCUUUGAGCGGGGGACAACAUUUGGAAACGAAUGCUAAUACCGCAUAACAACUUUAAACAUAAGUUUUAAGUUUGAAAGAUGCAAUUGCAUCACUCAAAGAUGAUCCCGCGUUGUAUUAGCUAGUUGGUGAGGUAAAGGCUCACCAAGGCGAUGAUACAUAGCCGACCUGAGAGGGUGAUCGGCCACAUUGGGACUGAGACACGGCCCAAACUCCUACGGGAGGCAGCAGUAGGGAAUCUUCGGCAAUAGACGAAAGUCUGACCGAGCAACGCCGCGUGAGUGAAGAAGGUUUUCGGAUCGUAAAGCUCUGUUGGUAGAGAAGAACGUUGGUGAGAGUGGAAAGCUCAUCAAGUGACGGUAACUACCCAGAAAGGGACGGCUAACUACGUG
rnacentral:rRNA from 1 species